GACGAACGCUGGCGGCGUGCUUAACACAUGCAAGUCGAACGGAAAGGCCCUGCUUUUGUGGGGUGCUCGAGUGGCGAACGGGUGAGUAACACGUGAGUAACCUGCCCUUGACUUUGGGAUAACUUCAGGAAACUGGGGCUAAUACCGGAUAGGAGCUCCUGCUGCAUGGUGGGGGUUGGAAAGUUUCGGCGGUUGGGGAUGGACUCGCGGCUUAUCAGCUUGUUGGUGGGGUAGUGGCUUACCAAGGCUUUGAUGGGUAGCCGGCCUGAGAGGGUGACCGGCCACAUUGGGACUGAGAUACGGCCCAGACUCCUACGGGAGGCAGCAGUGGGGAAUAUUGCACAAUGGGCGGAAGCCUGAUGCAGCAACGCCGCGUGCGGGAUGACGGCCUUCGGGUUGUAAACCGCUUUCGCCUGUGACGAAGCGUGAGUGACGGUAAUGGGUAAAGAGGCACCGGCUAACUACGUG
rnacentral:rRNA from 1 species